UCACUUUGCUAGGCAAUGUGCUGUUGCUUAAUUGCUUUCCUUCUCAACAAAAGAGAGAAUGAAACUGAAUCGAGUUAUUUAUAUAUUUCUCUUCGUUUUCUUUUCUUUUUUUUUGUUGUUGAUGGGAAUGAAACUGCCUGGUCCUUUUGGUGUUUUUGACUUCUUAUUAUUAUUAUACUACAAAGAGAGAGUGAUCCCUUUUCUUCUUGUUAUAACCAUCUCCUUUAGUGUUUGUCUUUGACAUGGAUGCUCUUUUCUUUUCUAUCUGUU
rnacentral:lncRNA from 1 species